rnacentral:rRNA from 1 species
UUGGUUAAGUUAGAAAGGGCGCACGGUGGAUGCCUUGGCACUAGGAGCCGAAGAAGGACGGGACUAACACCGAUAUGCUUUGGGGAGCUGUACGUAAGCGUUGAUCCAGAGAUUUCCGAAUGGGGGAACCCACUAUCUUUAGUCGGAUAGUAUCCUUACGUGAAUACAUAGCGUAAGGAAGGCAGACCCAGGGAACUGAAACAUCUAAGUACCUGGAGGAAGAGAAAGAAAAAUCGAUUUCCUGAGUAGCGGCGAGCGAAACGGAAAGAGCCCAAACCAAGAAGCUUGCUUCUUGGGGUUGUAGGACACUCUAUACGGAGUUACAAAAGAAAGCUAUAAAUGAAGCGGUCUGGAAAGGCCCGCCAAAGACGGUAACAGCCCGGUAGUUGAAAUGGUUUUCCCUCCAGAGUGGAUCCUGAGUACGGCGGAACACGUGAAAUUCCGUCGGAAUCCGGGAGGACCAUCUCCCAAGGCUAAAUACUCCCUAGUGACCGAUAGUGAACCAGUACCGUGAGGGAAAGGUGAAAAGCACCCCGGAAGGGGAGUGAAACAGUUCCUGAAACCGUGUGCCUACAAGUAGUUAGAGCCCGUUAAUGGGUGAUAGCGUGCCUUUUGUAGAAUGAACCGGCGAGUUACGAUUUGUUGCAAGGUUAAGCGGAAAAAGCGGAGCCGUAGCGAAAGCGAGUCUGAAUAGGGCGAAUAAGUAACAGGUCGUAGACCCGAAACCAGGUGAUCUACCCAUGUCCAGGAUGAAGGUAAGGUAAUACUUACUGGAGGUCCGAACCCACGCACGUUGAAAAGUGCGGGGAUGAGGUGUGGGUAGCGGAGAAAUUCCAAUCGAACUUGGAGAUAGCUGGUUCUCUCCGAAAUAGCUUUAGGGCUAGCCUCGAGGUAAAGAGUCAUGGAGGUAGAGCACUGUUUGGACUAGGGGCCCUUCUCGGGUUACCGAAUUCAGAUAAACUCCGAAUGCCAUGUACUUAUACUCGGGAGUCAGACUGCGAGUGAUAAGAUCCGUAGUCGAAAGGGAAACAGCCCAGACCACCAGUUAAGGUCCCAAAAUAUAUGUUAAGUGGAAAAGGAUGUGGGGUUGCUUAGACAACCAGGAUGUUGGCUUAGAAGCAGCCACCAUUGAAAGAGUGCGUAAUAGCUCACUGGUCGAGUGACCCCGCGCCGAAAAUGUACCGGGGCUAAACAUAUUACCGAAACUGUGGAUGAACCUCAUUAGAGGUUCGUGGUAGGAGAGCGUUCUAAGGGCGGUGAAGUCAGACCGGAAGGACUGGUGGAGCGCUUAGAAGUGAGAAUGCCGGUAUGAGUAGCGAAAGAAGGGUGAGAAUCCCUUCCACCGAAUAUCUAAGGUUUCCUGAGGAAGGCUCGUCCGCUCAGGGUUAGUCGGGACCUAAGCCGAGGCCGAUAGGCGUAGGCGAUGGACAACAGGUAGAGAUUCCUGUACCAGUGCUAAUUGUUUAACCGAUGGGGUGACACAGAAGGAUAGGGAAUCGCACGAAUGGAAAUGUGCGUCCAAGCAGUGAGUGUGAGAAGUAGGCAAAUCCGCUUCUCGCGAAGCAUGAGCUGUGAUGGGGAAGGAAAUUAAGUACGGAAGUUCCUGAUUUCACGCUGUCAAGAAAAGCCUCUAGGAAGAGUAGUACUGCCCGUACCGCAAACCGACACAGGUAGAUGAGGAGAGAAUCCUAAGGUGAGCGAGAGAACUCUCGUUAAGGAACUCGGCAAAAUGACCCCGUAACUUCGGGAGAAGGGGUGCUCUAUUAGGGUG